UGCAGUCGAACGCGUCUCCAUUAAUGAUUUUAGGUGCUUGCAUUUGAAAGAUUUAACAUUGAGACGAGUGGCGAACUGGUGAGUAACACGUGGGUAACCUGCCCUUGAAGUAGGGGAUAACACUUGGAAACAGGUGCUAAUACCGUAUAACAACCAAAACCACCUGGUUUUGGUUUAAAAGACGGCUUCGGCUGUCACUUUAGGAUGGACCCGCGGCGUAUUAGCUUGUUGGUAAGGUAACGGCCUACCAAGGCGAUGAUACGUAGCCGACCUGAGAGGGUAAUCGGCCACAUUGGGACUGAGACACGGCCCAAACUCCUACGGGAGGCAGCAGUAGGGAAUCUUCCACAAUGGACGAAAGUCUGAUGGAGCAACGCCGCGUGAGUGAUGAAGGGUUUCGGCUCGUAAAACUCUGUUGUUGGAGAAGAACAGGUGUCGGAGUAACUGUUGACAUCUUGACGGUAUCCAACCAGAAAGCCACGGCUAACUACGUGCCAGCAGCCGCGGUAAUACGUAGGUGGCAAGCGUUGUCCGGAUUUAUUGGGCGUAAAGCGAGCGCAGGCGGUUUUUUAGGUCUGAUGUGAAAGCCUUCGGCUUAACCGGAGAAGUGCAUCGGAAACCGGGAGACUUGAGUGCAGAAGAGGACAGUGGAACUCCAUGUGUAGCGGUGAAAUGCGUAGAUAUAUGGAAGAGCACCAGUGGCGAAGGCGGCUGUCUGGUCUGUAACUGACGCUGAGGCUCGAAAGCAUGGGUAGCGAACAGGAUUAGAUACCCUGGUAGUCCAUGCCGUAAACGAUGAGUGCUAAGUGUUGGAGGGUUUCCGCCCUUCAGUGCUGCAGCUAACGCAUUAAGCACUCCGCCUGGGGAGUACGACCGCAAGGUUGAAACU
rnacentral:rRNA from 1 species